rnacentral:rRNA from 1 species
AGUGAACGCUGGCGGUAGGCCUAACACAUGCAAGUCGAACGGCAGCACAGUAAGAGCUUGCUCUUACGGGUGGCGAGUGGCGGACGGGUGAGGAAUACAUCGGAAUCUACUUUUUCGUGGGGGAUAACGUAGAGAAACUUACGCUAAUACCGCAUACGACCUACGGGUGAAAGCAGGGGAUCUUCGGACCUUGCGCGAUUGAAUGAGCCGAUGCCGGAUUAGCUAGUUGGCGGGGUAAAGGCCCACCAAGGCGACGAUCCGUAGCUGGUCUGAGAGGAUGAUCAGCCACACUGGAACUGAGACACGGUCCAGACUCCUACGGGAGGCAGCAGUGGGGAAUAUUGGACAAUGGGCGCAAGCCUGAUCCAGCCAUACCGCGUGGGUGAAGAAGGCCUUCGGGUUGUAAAGCCCUUUUGUUGGGAAAGAAAAGCAGCAGGUUAAUACCCCGCUGUUCUGACGGUACCCAAAGAAUAAGCACCGGCUAACUUCGUG